AAGCGAAACCGGCAGGCCAGCCCUGCCGGUCUGCCGAGCGUAGUGGUUUGGUACUGAUGAGCAGCUAAAG
rnacentral:hammerhead_ribozyme from 1 species